UGACUCAAACUCUUCUAUAUUUUUCAAAUUAUAACAAUACUUCAGAUGGGUCCUACUCAUUUCUUAAUUGUUCUAUUUUAUGAACUGAAUGUUCACUUUCCCAUCAUAGAUUAUAAAUGUCAAUUGCAGUAUGACAUAAAAGCCUCUGAUCUGGUGUCCAAUCUAGGGGAGUCCUACCCCUUAACACAGCUGUGCCGGAGCGGAAUGUUGGAAAGUGCCUGGAGUCCUUGGAUUUUAGUGAGGAUACCUCGGGUGUUCUGCUAUUAGAUGAUGUUGAUUGGUGGGCUGGGGCAAAUAUUCCCUACCAGGUUAAGUACAUACUCUUUAGUAGAUUUUUGAAUAUGCUAAAUUCAUGAUAUAUGCUAUGAAUAUGUAGAUUCAUGAUAUAUGCUAGUUGAAUAUAUAUUAUAAUUAUGAUACAUAAUUCUUACAUAUGAAGACAUUAAUGGGCUUGCCUUUGUAACAUCUAUUUAUCUGGCUACACGGCUUUCUAAUAAACUAUUAAUGCCAUAUACUAUAUUAAUAGAUACAUUGUUAAGGUAAGCCACCCUACUUUUUUGAUAAAUCAAUUUUGAUAUUGGUAGAUUUGACUUUUAAUGAAUUGUGAAGUCUGAUUCAUUAGUAUUUUAUGCAGGGGAGUGCUGGUAAAUAUCUAGCGCUCUGAAAAAAUUAUAUGCACACAUAUGCUUACAUAUUUUUAAAAAAUAAGUUCUACUGAUAUAAGGGAUGUUUGGCACAUAAUCAACAAAUAAUAAUACAAUAUACAAUACUCUUUAUUGUAAAUGUCACAGAAGCAAUUGAUCCUCAGAAUGUUUUAUUGAAUUUGCUGAACUCCUGACUCUGUAGCCAACCUCUGGCUGCAAUUGACAAUCACUUUCAAUAUGAAUGAGAUGAAGGUUGGUUGAUAUUUUGAUUUAUGUUAGUGACACAAAAGUUUGACGAGAAGAACACAGUCGGAAUUUGACUCAUUUGUCCGUGAUGUGAGGGCUUCUUUGCUGAACUGCAUAAUAGUUUUCCAAUACAGGGGAGAAUUUUUUCCAACACAGGGAGACUUUUUUCUCAGUUCAUUGUGCUCAUUACAAUAACAUGACUAAAGACAUGAGCCACCUUUACAUUUGAUUUCGUAUUUUACAUUUUGUCCUCCAUUACUUCUGUAAGUUUAGACAGUCAACAAAACCAAACAACGAAGCAAGUCCCGGUGGGCAGCAUUUGCCAGCCUCCAUGGUGUAAAUAUUCCCGCGGGGAUGCUGACCUCAGGCUGCCAGGGGGACUUCCGGGAGCGUCGGGCGAGGAGGAGCAUGGCGGCCGUCCUCAGUGCAUUUCCACCGCACAGGCGCGGGAGUAGAGGCGUGCAGAGGGUAAAACGGGAAGCUUCUUUAGUAAGCAUUGCCUUUAAAAAUACAAUUUAUUAAUUUUAAAUUUAUAUAGUAAUGUCAUAAUGGAUUUCAAAAUGGCUGUUUUUAACAAUAGCCAUUAGUAAAUUUUUAAAUAAUGGCUAUUUUUAAUAACUAAUAUGGGUUUAUUUUAACCAUUUUUAAAUAAUGGCUACUUUUAACAACUGAUAUGGUUUGGCUCUGUGUCCCCACCCAAAUCUCAUGUUGAAUUGUAAUUCCCAGUGCUGGGGGAGGGACCUGGUGGGAGGUGAUUGUAUCAUGGGGCGGGUUUCCCCCUUGCUGUUCUCAUGAUAAUGAGUGAGUUCUCAUGAGAUCUGGUGGUUUACAAGUGUGGAGCUCUUUCCCCUUUGCUCUGUCUUUCUCUCCUGCCACCAUGGUAAGACCUGUUCGCUUCCUCUUCACCUUCCACCAUGACUGUAACUUUCCUGAGGCCUCCCAGCCAUGCUUCCUGUACAGCCUGCAGAACUGUGAGUCAAUUAAACCUCUUUUCUUCAUAAAUUACCCAGCCUUAGGUAUGCCUUUAUGGCCAUAUGAGAAUGGACUAAUACAACAACCAUCUUGCAAAAUCCCCAGACAUGUAAAAAUUGCUGCUCAGGGAUUACACAGACAACUGUACAUGAGCCCAAGCUGUGUUUCUCACACUCUGUCUUUUUUGUCAGGUUAUUCAUAUCCAGAUUUUUGCUAUUUUUAAGAUUUGAAUUGAGUAGCUUUUCUGUGGUCUUGUUUUAACUUUCUUGUAAUUCAUAUGGUAUUGGAAUAAAACGUUUCUUGAAAUCUUGAUGAAAUUUGCCUAUAAAUCCUCUUGCCCUAGAAACAGUUAUGGGAAAAAAUUUUGACUUUUUUUAGUUCCAUUGGUUAUUACUGAUAACCUCAAAAUUUCUUCAUCUUGAGUUGAUUAUUUAUAUUUACCAAAAAAUUAUGAAUUAUACCAAUGUAUU
rnacentral:lncRNA from 1 species